rnacentral:miRNA from 1 species
UGGUGGUCGGUGUUUCGUGGA